rnacentral:guide_RNA from 1 species
AAUGAGAUUGCAGUGAUUUAUGUUGUGGUAAUAU